rnacentral:rRNA from 1 species
UACAGAGGGGGCAAGCGUUGUUCGGAAUUACUGGGCGUAAAGGGCGCGUAGGCGGUCCUUCAAGUCAGGCGUGAAAGCCCCGGGCUCGACCUGGGAACCGCGCUUGAGACUGGCGGACUCGAGUUCGGGAGAGGAUGGUGGAAUUCCCAGUGUAGAGGUGAAAUUCGUAGAUAUUGGGAAGAACACCGAUGGCGAAGGCAGCCAUCUGGACCGACACUGACGCUGAGGCGCGAAAGCGUGGGGAGCAAACAGG